CCUACGGGUGGCAGCAGUGAGGAAUAUUGGACAAUGGACGGAAGUCUGAACCAGCCAUGCCGCGUGCAGGAAGACGGCUCUAUGAGUUGUAAACUGUUUUUGUACAAGGGUAAACCUGAAUACGUGUAUUCAGCUGAAAGUACUGUACGAAUAAGGAUCGGCUAACUCCGUGCCAGCAGCCGCGGUAAUACGGAGGAGCCAAGCGUUAUCCGGAUUUAUUGGGUUUAAAGGGUGCGUAGGCGGAUUGAUAAGUUAGAGGUGAAAUGUCCGAGCCUAACUCGGGAACUGCCUCUGAUACUGUUGGGCUAGAGAGUAGAUGUGGUAAGCGGAAUGUAUGGUGUAGCGGUGAAAUGCUUAGAGAGCAUACAGAACACCGGUUGCGAAGGCAGCUUACCAAUCUAUAUCUGACGUUGAGGCACGAAAGCGUGGGGAGCAAACAGGAUUAGAUACCCUUGUAGUC
rnacentral:rRNA from 1 species